AGCUCCAAUAGCGUAUAUUAAAGUUGUUGCAGUUAAAAAGCUCGUAGUUGGAUUUGUGGCUGUCACGUGCGGCCCGCAUUCGUGCGGUGUUUGCUAGUGUCGCCAUCCUUGGGUGGAACCUGUGUGGCAUUAAGUUGUCGUGCAGGGGAUGCCCAUCGUUUACUGUGAAAAAAUUAGAGUGUUCAAAGCAGGCUUACGCCGUUGAAUAUAUUAGCAUGGAAUAAUAAGAUAGGACCUUGGUACUAUUUUGUUGGUUUGCGCACCAAGGUAAUGAUUAAUAGGGACAGUUGGGGGUAUUCGUAUUCCAUUGUCAGAGGUGAAAUUCUUGGAUUUUUGGAAGACGAACUACUGCGAAAGCAUUUACCAAGGAUGUUUUCAUUAAUCAAGAACGAAAGUACGC
rnacentral:rRNA from 1 species